rnacentral:rRNA from 1 species
AGACCCGAAACCCGGUGAUCUAGCCAUGGGCAGGUUGAAGGUUGGGUAACACUAACUGGAGGACCGAACCGACUAAUGUUGAAAAAUUAGCGGAUGACCUGUGGCUGGGGGUGAAAGGCCAAUCAAACCGGGAGAUAGCUGGUUCUCCCCGAAAGCUAUUUAGGUAGCGCCUCGUGAAUUCAUCUCCGGGGGUAGAGCACUGUUUCGGCUAGGGGGCCAUCCCGGCUUACCAACCCGAUGCAAACUGCGAAUACCGGAGAAUGUUAUCACGGGAGACACACGGCGGGUGCUAACGUCCGUCGUGAAGAGGGAAACAACCCAGACCGCCAGCUAAGGUCCCAAAGUCAUGGUUAAGUGGGAAACGAUGUGGGAAGGCCCAGACAGCCAGGAUGUUGGCUUAGAAGCAGCCAUCAUUUAAAGAAAGCGUAAUAGCUCACUGGUCGAGUCGGCCUGCGCGGAAGAUGUAACGGGGCUAAACCAUGCACCGAAGCUGCGGCAGCGACACUAUGUGUUGUUGGGUAGGGGAGCGUUCUGUAAGCCUGUGAAGGUGUGUCGUGAGGCAUGCUGGAGGUAUCAGAAGUGCGAAUGCUGACAUAAGUAACGAUAAAGCGGGUGAAAAGCCCGCUCGCCGGAAGACCAAGGGUUCCUGUCCAACGUUAAUCGGGGCAGGGUGAGUCGACCCCUAAGGCGAGGCCGAAAGGCGUAGUCGAUGGGAAACGGGUUAAUAUUCCCGUACUUGGUGUUACUGCGAAGGGGGGACGGAGAAGGCUAUGUUGGCCGGGCGACGGUUGUCCCGGUUUAAGCGUGUAGGUGUGUGUUCCAGGUAAAUCCGGUUCACUUUAACACUGAGGCGUGAUGACGAGGCACUACGGUGCUGAAGCAACAAAUGCCCUGCUUCCAGGAAAAGCCUCUAAGCAUCAGGUAACAUCAAAUCGUACCCCAAACCGACACAGGUGGUCAGGUAGAGAAUACCAAGGCGCUUGAGAGAACUCGGGUGAAGGAACUAGGCAAAAUGGUGCCGUAACUUCGGGAGAAGGCACGCUGACACGUAGGUGAAGUGAUUUACUCAUGGAGCUGAAGUCAGUCGAAGAUACCAGCUGGCUGCAACUGUUUAUUAAAAACACAGCACUGUGCAAACACGAAAGUGGACGUAUACGGUGUGACGCCUGCCCGGUGCCGGAAGGUUAAUUGAUGGGGUCAGCGCAAGCGAAGCUCCUGAUCGAAGCCCCGGUAAACGGCGGCCGUAACUAUAACGGUCCUAAGGUAGCGAAAUUCCUUGUCGGGUAAGUUCCGACCUGCACGAAUGGCGUAAUGAUGGCCAGGCUGUCUCCACCCGAGACUCAGUGAAAUUGAACUCGCUGUGAAGAUGCAGUGUACCCGCGGCAAGACGGAAAGACCCCGUGAACCUUUACUAUAGCUUGACACUGAACAUUGAGCCUUGAUGUGUAGGAUAGGUGGGAGGCUUUGAAGCGUGGACGCCAGUCUGCGUGGAGCCAACCUUGAAAUACCACCCUUUAAUGUUUGAUGUUCUAACGUGGACCCGU